GGAACAGUGGCUUAAUGGUAGAGUGCUUGGCUAGCAAGCAUGAAGCCUUGGGUUCGAUUUCCCAAUACCA
rfam:Dipodomys ordii contig_20970, whole genome shotgun sequence.